CCUACGGGUGGCUGCAGUGAGGAAUAUUGGUCAAUGGGCGCGAGUCUGAACCAGCCAAGUAGCGUGAAGGAUGACUGCCCUACGGGUUGUAAACUUCUUUUAUAAAGGAAUAAAGUGAGGCCCGUGUGCCUUUUUGUAUGUACUUUAUGAAUAAGGAUAGGAUAACUCCGUUCCAUCAGCCGCGGUAAUACGGAGGAUCCGAGCGUGAUCCGGAUUUAUUUGGGUUAAAGGGAGCGUAGAUGGGUUGUUAAGUCAGUUGUGAAAGUUUGCGGCUCAACCGGAAAAGUGCAAUUGAUACUGGCAGUCUUGAGUACAGUUGAGGGAGGCGGAAUUCGAGGUGUAGCGGUGAAAUGCUUAGAUAUCACGAAGAACUCCGAUUGCGAAGGCAGCUUACUAAACGGCCACUGACAUUGAUGCUCGAAAGUGUGGGUAUCAAACAGGAUUAGAUACCCUAGUAGUC
rnacentral:rRNA from 1 species